ACUCACCUCUGUCUACCUCCACAGGCACUUUAAUCAGUCACUGUGAUGUGAAGAACACCACCACCUACCUAGAGGUGAAUAACUGCAGGUCCUCUGUGCCGGUGGAAAUCUCAGCCUGCGGGGGAUCCUGUGGAACAUCUUCUAUAUACUCUGUAGAGAAAAACACCCUGAUGCACUCCUGCUCCUGCUGUCGAGAGAUGUCUACCAGUGAGAGGAAGGUGGAGAUGGUCUGCCCUGAUGGGAAGAAGAUCAUGCAGUCCUACAUUUACAUUGAUAAGUGUGGCUGCCAUGACUCUGAGUGUGACAAGAAGAACCACUUAGAUUAGGCCUUGACGAAUUAAGUCUUUUAAAAUGUUCUUAUUUACCUUAACUGCAUGGAAUAUGAAAUAGUUUUAUCUAAAGGGAACCAAUAGGGUCUGUCUCAUUAUCAUAUAGGCUACUUUCACGAACAGCAUGUCCUUUCUCUCUACACUAUCAUAGACAUUAUGCAAACCUAUUAAACUGAUGAAGAAGCAUGAA